CCUACGGGUGGCAGCAGUGGGGGAUAUUGCACAAUGGGGGGAACCCUGAUGCAGCGACGCCGCGUGGGUGAAGAAGGGCCUCGGCGCGUAAAGCCCUGUCAGCAGGGAAGAAAAUGACGGUAACUGAAGAAGAAGCCACGGCGAACGACGUGCCAGCAGCCGCGGUAAGACGGAGGGGGCAAGCGUUAGCCGGAUUUACUGGGUGUACAGGGGGCGCAGACGGCGAGGCAAGCCAGGAGUGAAAGCCCUGGGCCCCACCCCGGGACUGCUCUUGGAACGGCGUGGCUGGAGUGCCGGAGGGGCAGGCGGAAUUCCUGGUGUAGCGGUGACAUGCGUAGAUCUCAGGCG
rnacentral:rRNA from 1 species